UCUAAAAUCCUUUGUUUGUUUCAAUAAUAAGAAAAUAAGGAAUGUAAUUUGAUUCCUAAAAUUAGGAAAAGUUAGUGGAAAUUUUGGGAUUCUGAUUCCCUAAAGCUGUUAUUCUUUUUCCCUGAUUUGAUGAUUUUAAAAGAUACGGACAAAAUACACAAAAAAUAUGUUCUCUCUAACUUCUACACGUUUAAUUCUUCCGAUUUCUCUUCUCCAAAUCAAAUCUGGCGAUUCUUUUACUCCAUAUUUUUGCUUAAUUAUCUUCUUUAUAUCUCAUCUCUGCCAAUUUCUCUUCUCAUAUCUCACUACCGAGUUCUCUUCUUCAUUUCGAUCUUUCAAUUUCGUGAUUAACUCCAUUAAAAGAAAGAUAACUCAGAUAGAGCUGUUGUACCAAAUUUCGAAGCUCCGAUAGAUAUGGUCGAGGACUUAGAUAGAGAGCAAAAUAUCGAUCAAGUAGAUGAAGAAUUUGGUGAAGAUGGUGUACCUUCAAUAGUUACAUCUCGGAGUGAAGGAACUUCAAAAGUACAAGAGCGUAAAAGGAUGAUGAGAAGUACAGAUGGUUUGAUAUCAAGUUUGGAGCGCAUGACUAAUAGAAUUAAUAGGAUGAAAUUAGUAUUUUUUUUGCCAUUCUUAACUUUUAUAUAUUUUGUUAUGGAAUGUUUAAGAAUCAUUCAUUGCUUAUUUUCAUAUCUAUUCUAAUAUUUGAUAUUA